rnacentral:rRNA from 1 species
CCUACGGGUGGCAGCAGUGAGGAAUAUUGGUCAAGGGGCGCGAGCCUGAACCAGCCAAGUAGCGUGAAGGAUGACUGCCCUACGGGUUGUAAACUUCUUUUAUAAAGGAAUAAAGUGAGGCACGUGUGCCUUUUUGUAUGUACUUUAUGAAUAAGGAUCGGCUAACUCCGUGCCAGCAGCCGAGGUAAUACGGAGGAUCCGAGCGUUAUCCGGAGUUAUUGGGUUUAAAGGGAGCGUAGAUGGGUUGUUAAGUCAGUUGUGAAAGUUUGCGGCUCAACCGUAAAAUUGCAAUUGUUACUGGCAGUCUUGAUUACAGUUGCGUUAGGCGGAUUUCGUGGUGUAGCGGUGAAAUGCUUUGCUAUCACGAAGAACUCCGAUUGCGAUGGCAGCUUACUAAACUGCCACUGACAUUGAUGCUCGACAGUGUGGGUAUCAAACAGGAUUAGAUACCCUGGUAGUC